rnacentral:rRNA from 1 species
UACGUAGGGUGCAAGCGUUGUCCGGAAUUACUGGGCGUAAAGAGUUCGUAGGCGGUUUGUCGCGUCGUUCGUGAAAACUUGGGGCUUAACUCCAAGCGUGCGGGCGAUACGGGCAGACUUGAGUACUACAGGGGAGACUGGAAUUCCUGGUGUAGCGGUGGAAAUGCGCAGAUAUCAGGAGGAACACCGGUAGUCGGAGGCGGGAAUCGCCGUGGUGUGGAAACCGUACCUGGGACGUAAGGAGAAAC